UACAGAGGGUGCGAGCGUUGUCCGGAAUCACUGGGCGUAAAGGGCGCGUAGGUGGCGGCCCAAGUCCAUGGUGAAAGCUCGAUGCUCAACAUCGAGUCGGCCACGGAUACUGGGUUGCUCGAGCACUGUAGGGGCAGAUGGAAUUCCGGGUGUAGCGGUGGAAUGCGUAGAGAUCCGGAAGAACACCGGUGGCGAAGGCGGUCUGCUGGGCGAGUUGCUGGACACUGAGCGCGACAGCGUGGGGAGCAA
rnacentral:rRNA from 1 species